UACGUAGGGGGCAAGCGUUGUCCGGAUUUAUUGGGCGUAAAGAGCGUGUAGGCGGUUUGGUAGGUCCGCUGUGAAAACUCGAGGCUCAACCUCGAGACGCCGGUGGAAACCAUCAGGCUAGAGUCCGGAAGAGGAGACUGGAAUUCCUGGUGUAGCGGUGAAAUGCGCAGAUAUCAGGAGGAACACCGAUGGCGAAGGCAGGUCUCUGGGCCACUACUGACGCUGAGAAGCGAAAGCAUGGGGGAGCGAACAGG
rnacentral:rRNA from 1 species